rnacentral:misc_RNA from 1 species
GAUGAAGAACGUAGCGAAAUGCGAUAAGUAAUGUGAAUUGCAGAAUUCAGUGAAUCAUCGAAUCUUUGAACGCACAUUGCGCCCGCCAGUAUUCUGGCGGGCAUGCCUGUCUGAGCGUCAUUUCAACCCUCAUGCCCCUAGGGCGUGGUGUUGGGGAUCGGCCAAAGCCCGCGAGGGACGGCCGGCCCCUAAAUCUAGUGGCGGACCCGUCGUGGCCUCCUCUGCGAAGUAGUGAUAUUCCGCAUCGGAGAGCGACGAGCCCCUGCCGUUAAACCCCCAACUUUCCAAGGUUGACCUCAGAUCAGGUAGGAAUACCCGCUGAACUUAAGCAUAUCAAUAAGCGGGGA